rnacentral:rRNA from 1 species
UAGGGAAUCUUCGGCAAUGGGGGGCAACCCCUGACCGAGCAACGCCGCGUGAGUGAAGAAGGUUUUCGGAUCGUAAAGCUCUGUUGUAAGAGAAGAACGUGUGUGAGAGUGGAAAGUUCACACAGUGGCGGUAACUUACCAGAAAGGGACGGCUAACUACGUGCCAG